rnacentral:rRNA from 1 species
UAGGGAAUCUUCCGCAAUGGGCGAAAGCCUGACGGAGCAACGCCGCGUGAGUGAUGAAGGUCUUCGGAUCGUAAAACUCUGUUAUUAGGGAAGAACAAAUGUGUAAGUAACUAUGCACGUCUUGACGGUACCUAAUCAGAAAGCCACGGCUAACUACGUGCCAGCAGCCGCGGUAAUACGUAGGUGGCAAGCGUUAUCCGGAAUUAUUGGGCGUAAAGCGCGCGUAGGCGGUUUUUUAAGUCUGAUGUGAAAGCCCACGGCUCAACCGUGGAGGGUCAUUGGAGACUGGAAAACUUGAGUGCAGAAGAGGAAAGUGGAAUUCCAUGUGUAGCGGUGAAAUGAGCAGAGAUAUGGAGGAACACCAGUGGCGAAGGCGACUUUCUGGUCUGUAACUGACGCUGAUGUGCGAAAGCGUGGGGAUCAAACAGG